rnacentral:rRNA from 1 species
UACGAAGGGGGACUAGCGUUGCUCGGAAUCACUGGGCGUAAAGCGCACGUAGGCGGAUCUUUAAGUCAGGGGUGAAAUCCCAAGGCUCAACCUUGGAACUGCCUUUAAUACUGGCGAUCUUGAGUCCGGGAGAGGUGAGUGGAACUGCGAGUGUAGAGGUGAAAUUCGUAGAUAUUCGGAAGAACACCAGUGGCGAAGGCGGCUCACUGGCCCGUUACCGACGCUCAGGCGCGACAGCGUGGGGAGCAAACAGGG